rnacentral:rRNA from 1 species
GACGAACGCUGGCGGCGUGCUUAACACAUGCAAGUCGAACGGUGAAGCUCCAGCUUGCUGGAGUGGAUCAGUGGCGAACGGGUGAGUAACACGUGAGCAACCUGCCCCUGACUCUGGAAUAAGCGCUGGAAACGGCGUCUAAUACUGGAUACGAGAAGGGUCCGCAUGGGCACUUUCUGGAAAGUUUUUCGGUUGGGGAUGGGCUCGCGGCCUAUCAGCUUGUUGGUGAGGUAAUGGCUCACCAAGGCGACGACGGGUAGCCGGCCUGAGAGGGUGACCGGCCACACUGGGACUGAGACACGGCCCAGACUCCUACGGGAGGCAGCAGUGGGGAAUAUUGCACAAUGGGCGAAAGCCUGAUGCAGCGACGCCGCGUGAGGGAUGACGGCCUUCGGGUUGUAAACCUCUUUCAGCAGGGAAGAAGCGAAAGUGACGGUACCUGCAGAAGAAGCACCGGCUAACUACGUG